rnacentral:lncRNA from 1 species
GGUGGGGGUUGGUGGGUGUAUAUGUGGAAGUCAGAGGACUACUUACUGAAGUUGGUGUUUUCCUUCCAACAUGUGGGUCCUGGGGGAUGAACUCAGCUUGUUAGGUACCUACCAAGUCUUCUGUUGUUCUCUUCUACUUCUUGAGACAGUGUUUUAGUCUGUAGCCUAGGCUAGUCAGGAACUUGCUAUGUAGGUAGCCCAGGCUAGCCUCCAAUUUUAACUCUUCCUGCUGCAGCCUCUCCAUGACUUGGGCUGGGUGUAAGCUCUGUCUGGCUCUGGGUUACUCAUGUGGCAUAGCCGUGGAGCUUUGUUUAAUAGGAGCCAAUGGAAUAUGUGGAGAAUGUUUGCCACGGGAAAUUACUUCUGUUUUGUGAUGGAAUUCUUGCCAAGAAAGAGUUCAAUAUUUAGAACCAUUUAGGCCAUUUCUGGUUUGAAUAAUAAACUGUUAUUAUUUGAUAUAAAGGAAUUCUAUCUUCUGUCCAUCUCCUUUUGGGGGACAUGUAAUGUUAUAAAUUUAUGACUGAGAUUUUUUUCUCAUGUUAGUAGGUCCAAGCACUCAGAUUUCUUCCUUAAGGAAACCUGAAGAGGAUGAUAUGGCUUACUUUGAAAGACAAUACCAGGAAAGGAUCAAAAUGGAAAAGGCUGCUAAGAAAGGAAAAGCGCUGCCGCCGCCAAGCACGCAGCCUUCCUGAAGUCGGCUGGACAGACCAAGCCGCCAUCCAGAUGCAUCUUGUAUUUAUUUAAGUUUACUU